UGGGGAAUAUUGCACAAUGGGCGCAAGCCUGAUGCAGCCAUGCCGCGUGUAUGAAGAAGGCCUUCGGGUUGUAAAGUACUUUCAGUCGGGAGGAAGGUGGUAAGGUUAAUAACCUUAUCAAUUGACGUUACCGACAGAAGAAGCACCGGCUAACUCCGUGCCAGCAGCCGCGGUAAUACGGAGGGUGCAAGCGUUAAUCGGAAUUACUGGGCGUAAAGCGCACGCAGGCGGUCUGUCAAGUCGGAUGUGAAAUCCCCGGGCUCAACCUGGGAACUGCAUUCGAAACUGGCAGGCUAGAGUCUUGUAGAGGGGGGUAGAAUUCCAGGUGUAACGGUGAAAUGCGUAGAGAUCUGGGGGAAUACCGGUGGCGAAGGCGGCCCCCUGGACAAAGACUGACGCUCAGGUGCGAAAGCGUGGGGAGCAAACAGG
rnacentral:rRNA from 1 species